rnacentral:rRNA from 1 species
AGGGAAGCAAUACCGCGAGGUGGAGCAAAUCCCUAAAAGCCAUCCCAGUUCGGAUCGCAGGCUGCAACCCGCCUGCGUGAAGUUGGAAUCGCUAGUAAUCGCGGAUCAGCAUGCCGCGGUGAAUACGUUCCCGGGCCUUGUACACACCGCCCGUCACACCAUGAGAGUCGGGAACACCCGAAGUCCGUAGCCUAACUGCAAAGGGGGCGCGGCCGAAGGUGGGUUCGAUAAUUGGGGUGAAGUCGUAACAAGGUACC